UGAGUAACCUGCCCUUAACUCUGGGAUAAGCCUGGGAGACUGGGUCUAAUACCGGAUAUGACUCCUCAUCGCAUGGUGGGGGGUGGAAAGCUUUAUUGUGGUUUCGGAUGGACUCGCGGCCUAUCAGCUUGUUGGUGAGGUAAUGGCUCACCAAGGCGACGACGGGUAGCCGGCCUGAGAGGGUGACCGGCCACACUGGGACUGAGACACGGCCCAGACUCCUACGGGAGGCAG
rnacentral:rRNA from 1 species